CUUAGAGUACAUGGCCCUGUGGGUGUCAGCUGUCAGCCUCGCCCAUGGAGCCUCUGCAGGGCGGUCAGGGCAGGCACGUAGACAGGAGCAGGUACUACAGUAUAUAAAGCGUGCCGUACAAGGGAAGAGAUCACAGAACUGAUGCGGUGUUAUUUCAAUUGAUUUUGGUGUUGCAUUUAUACCUGCACAUGCUGAAAAUCAAUC
rnacentral:sRNA from 1 species